rnacentral:tRNA from 1 species
AUUAUUUUAGUAUAAAUAGUAUUUUUGAUUUCCAAUCAAAGGGUCUUUUUGAAAUAAUA